GAUGAACGCUAGCGGGAGGCCUAACACAUGCAAGCCGAGCGGUAUUAUUUCUUCGGAAAUGAGAGAGCGGCGUACGGGUGCGGAACACGUGUGCAACCUGCCUUUAUCUGGGGGAUAGCCUUUCGAAAGGAAGAUUAAUACUCCAUAACAUAUUGAACGGCAUCGUUUGAUAUUGAAAGCUCAGGCGGAUAGAGAUGGGCACGCGCAAGAUUAGCUAGUUGGUGAGGUAACGGCUCACCAAGGCGAUGAUCUUUAGGGGGCCUGAGAGGGUGAUCCCCCACACUGGUACUGAGACACGGACCAGACUCCUACGGGAGGCAGCAGUGAGGAAUAUUGGUCAAUGGGUGCAAGCCUGAACCAGCCAUCCCGCGUGAAGGACGACUGCCCUAUGGGUUGUAAACUUCUUUUGUAUAGGGAUAAACCUACCCUCGUGAGGGUAGCUGAAGGUACUAUACGAAUAAGCACCGGCUAACUCCGUGCCAGCCGCCGCGGUAACAC
rnacentral:rRNA from 1 species